AACAGCAGACCUUGAGAAUGCCUUCUUCCAUUUGUAGACACACAGUUACUACGAUAAAUAUUAAUGUAAGAGAAGCCAUAGUAAGAUUUCUGAAGCAAUUCGAAGUACUUACGAAAAUUAUUAUUUCAUCGUGUUUCGGUUGUGCGAGUGUUUUGGAGAGACAGAGUGAAUGGAUCGCAUAUGUUAAGUGAGUUUUAUCACCUGAAGAUAUGAUUACAAUAUUGCGAAGCCAGUCAUGUAUAAUCUGGUAAUAAAGGAUUAUCAACAGCUAAUGCAAUUUCCAGAUUUUUUUUAGAAGAUUUUAACAAAAAAAAUUGACAGAAAUUUUUAACAUGUGUCAACUAAGCCCACAGUGUAAAGUCAUACAUUUUCUGCUGUUAUGAAUAUGAGUGGGAUCAGCACACAAGUAAUUUAUUGUGGAAACAACAGGAAUUUUAUUAGAAGAAAAAGAUACCUGAAACAACAGUCUCAUGCAUUAGUUAUAGCUCACUUGGACUGAAGAAUCUUGGACACCACAGAAAUUCAUAGGUAUCUUCAACGGAGAC